rfam:Tupaia chinensis contig188705, whole genome shotgun sequence.
CUCUCCUUUUCCCAGGGCAGACGUGCGGGCCUGCUCCGUGUUGCACAUGAGGGCAGAGGAUCGGUGCUCUGGCCCCCUCCACGUCAGGUCUCGGGUGCCGGUGGCUUCCUGUCUGCUGGUUCUGUCCUCAGAAGCUGGGACACAG